UAGGGGCUAUUUUCGAAGAUGAAGAAGAAUUAUCAUUCAAAGAAGUCUCUUCACGCAAUUCUUUAUUCAUAAGGUCAUAUGAAUAAAACCGAGUACUUGCUCAUACUCAACACGAUUUAAGCAAAGUAAAGUCUCUGAGCAUUUACUCAAAACCAUAUGAAUAAAACGAUACUUUACUCAGAAAGAAAGCCAGCGGUGCACAAAGUGGUGUUUUUCUAUGGAAGUGCCUUUGCGGAUCUCAUCCGCAUUUUGCCGUACCAACUUGAAAAAGCCGUGUCGUCUUUUGCCGGCUGAUGACGGAGCCACAAACCCCGGGGGAACUCAACCGCCAGCUUCACUCCCUCCUGGGAUACGUAAAGGGAGAACACCGAUUCGAUGCGGCGCAAACGGAAUUCAGCGCUACCGAUGACCGUGAUCGGUCUUUUCGUAAAGCAAUCGGUGAGUGGUUAGCUACCGUGGCCUCCAGUGGAAUCGGUACCGAAGUGCUAGUCAAAGCACCAGCAGAAUGAAUAACGGCAGCAAGAUCUUCAGAAUCAGCUAAACGAGGCAAAUUCCGGUCGACACCAACGAAAACCGUUUCCAUCAUGAGGAGGAUCUUUUUCGAGAGGGUUUAGAACAUAAGAAAAAAAUAUAAACUAAAAUGUAAAAGCAAUCGUGAAAAUUUCUAAAAAGGGUGUGUUUCUCAAAA